rnacentral:miRNA from 1 species
GCUGACACAUCCCGGCCAAUCUCCAGCAGACCCUCCCUCCAAGGCCCUCCCACCUCCUGGACAGCAUCCAUUUUGAAGUCAGCUUCAACAUGGAUGCUGUCCAGGAGGUGGGAGGGUCUGGGAGAGAGGGUCUGCUGGAGAUUGGCCAGGAUGUGUCAG